GAUGAAGAACGCAGCGAAAUGCGAUAAGUAAUGUGAAUUGCAGAAUUCAGUGAAUCAUCGAAUCUUUGAACGCACCUUGCGCCCUUUGGCCAUUCCGAAGGGCAUGCCUGUUUGAGUAUCAUGAACACCUCAACUCUUUAUGGUUUUCCAUGAUGAGCUUGGACUCUGGGGGUUUUGCUGGCUCACAGUCGGCUCCUCUACAAUGAAUCAGCUUACCAGUGUUUGGUGGGUAUCAUGGGUGUGAUAACUAUCUACGCUUGUGGUUUUUCCACCAGGUAACCUUCAGCAGUGGAGGUUCGCUGGAGCUCAUAGAUGUCUCUCCUCAGUGAGGACAGCCCUUUGAAUGUUUGAUCUCAAAUCAGGUAGGACUACCCGCUGAACUUAAGCAUAUCAAUAAGCGGAGGA
rnacentral:misc_RNA from 1 species